rnacentral:lncRNA from 1 species
CUUUAUUUGGGUUAGCAGCAUGUCCUUUGUGUAUGUCUGUCUGUGUGUAUAGGUGAUGAGCAGGAGUGGGAUCGGCAGUGUGUUUGGCACUCAGAGCUUGUGUCGGGCCUUGAUAAGCUGGAUGUGUGUAUGGAGCAGCUACAACAAGACCAAGAAAAAUGGACAACACAUGGAGGAGACUGGACUACUACCUUCCAUGCAAUGGACAGAGAGCUGAGGCAGAGAGAGUUGUGGGAGCAGUGUUGUUCCAGACAGACAGAGUUGGAGGUUGCUCUAAAUGCUCUGCACUUUGUCAGGCACCUUUCUCAGCUCCGUGCCGACACUGCUCAGGCAGUACUAUGUGGGAAUUUUUGCUACAAGGAAUAUGGUCUGUUCCAGUGCAGUGGACACAAGCCAACUGUUGGGGUCAGGGGUUUACUUCAACAGAUGGCUUUGCCUCUGCUGGAGAGACUAAACCAGCUCCUGGAAGAUAAACAGCCUGACAGCUUCACCCCCAACACCUGCAAUCAGCACAUUUCUGGUUCAAAGCAGGCAUACGGGCUGGAGAUACCCUCUAGAGUUUGGACAGCCUCUGUGCCCGUGGUGAAAGGAAUCUCCACCCAGUCUUUGAGGGAGCCCGUGAAUUUAGCUCAAUCCCAGGACUCUGGUCUGCAGGCCAGCUCAGCACCGACACAAAACUCACAACGACACAACGCUUCUUCUGGCAUUCACUCCCAGGAGAGCCAGCCGAUGAAAGAGUCUGCUCAGCCUAGCACAUAG